GCGGUUGUAGUUCAACGGUUAGAACGUGCGGUUGUGGUCCGUAAAACGGGAGUUCGAUUCUCCCCUUCCGCU
rnacentral:tRNA from 1 species